rnacentral:lncRNA from 1 species
ACUCUAGUCUAGAGAGCACAUUCUCUGCUCAGUUGCCCGGGGAAGCCACUAGCUACAGAUGCUGGAGAAUUUGGGCUGGUUUCUUCUGCAUUUUAACAAUCCCUGGGGCUUUCUUUGGUUCUUUCUUUAUUUGAGUGAGGUUGAGAUCAUCUUUCUAUCAUGUCUCUGCAUUCAGUGAUAUCCAUAUUUAUCCAUGUUUGAAAAGACACAGACAUCAAUCUGUCUGGAAAGAACGAUGUGAGGACAGGACCCCUGCUACUGUGUGUGUCUCUCAUCCUGAUGUUGACAUAUGUAAAAGAAAAAAUCUGCUCCGGACACUUGUGAAAACCAGCAAGACAGAUGUUAUUGGAACUCCUGCAUUAGGCUACGACCCUCAGUACAGAGUUGAGCUCAGCUCUGGAGGCAGCAUGGACAGUGAGUGGAGUGUUUAUGGACAAUGAGCAGAGGGUCAGCGGAUGGACAGUCACUAAGAGGAACUUGAUGAGGUAUCAAGGGGGUUUAUCAGCUGUGCAUCCAUCUUCUAGCAGCUUCUGUGUCUUUUCUCCCUGGAAUGUUCUCCUGUGCCCUCCUCUUCCCUCCCUCACUGAGAUAUAAACAAGCUGCCUCAUGUCUGUCUUGUCUUGUUGGAAGCCUGGGGCUUGACAUCAGAAACUUAUCAUCUCAGGAUGUGUGCACCACACAGUUCUCUACCCCAAAAGUCUUCUUCUUACUUCGUUAAACAACAUGAUUUUCAGGCAUUGCUGAAAAUAAUUGACUUUUUAAAAAAUAUCAAGACUAAGCUCAAGAUCUGGAUUUCACAAUGC